rnacentral:rRNA from 1 species
UACAGAGGUCUCCAGCGUUGUUCGGAUUCAUUGGGCGUAAAGGGUGCGUAGGCGGCGCGGUAAGUCGGGUGUGAAAUCUCGGAGCUUAACUCCGAAACUGCAUUCGAUACUGCCGUGCUUGAGGACUGGAGAGGAGACUGGAAUUUACGGUGUAGCGGUGAAAUGCGUAGAUAUCGUAAGGAAGACCAGUGGCGAAGGCGGGGCUCUGGACAGUUCCUGACGCUGAGGCACGAAGGUCAGGGGAGCAAACGGG